rnacentral:tRNA from 1 species
GCCGGUGUAGCUCAGUUGGCUAGAGCAAUAAUCUUGUAAAUUAAAGGUCGAAGGUUCGAGUCCUUCCAUCGGCUCCA